rnacentral:rRNA from 1 species
UACGUAGGGGGCAAGCGUUGUCCGGAAUUACUGGGCGUAAAGCGCGCGUAGGCGGACCUGCAAGUCGGGGGUGAAAGCCCGAGGCUCAACCUCGGAACUGCCUUCGAUACUGCGGGUCUCGAGUCCGGGAGAGGUGAGUGGAAUUCCUAGUGUAGAGGUGAAAUUCGUAGAUAUUAGGAAGAACACCAGUGGCGAAGGCGGCUCACUGGCCCGGUACUGACGCUGAGGCGCGAAAGCGUGGGGAGCAAACAGGG